GAGAAAACAGCAGUGGCCACAAUUCACUGUCAGGCAGCUGUCAUUAAGGAGGAAAAAAAAAAGGGAUUUAAAAAAGAAUACCCAAUAAGAAACAAAAUAUGCUAAAGCAAUUACUUUUUUUUUGUUUACAUAUAGGAUCCUACAUACAUAGGCCAUUCUGCCACUUUUUUUGGGGUUGUAGUAAGUGCAUGUGACACAAUAUAUAAGAAUUGCUGCAAAAUCAAAUCUAUGAUGGCUUUUCCUGCUAUGUUUCAAUGAAAAGCAUUAGAAGCUGGUGUUUUUGAUUAUAGUCAGGACAGCUGAUGAAGAAAUGCACGGAGCUGCAGUAAUCUGUAGAGAAAAGGGAUGCUGUUGAGAGCCCACAAGAGUCAGAAAUACAAACCCCUUGUCACAGAGCAACUUCACCUUUAGUCGUACUGGUUUAGGUUUUGUUUUUUGGUAUGUGGGGUUUUUUUGUGGUUUUGUUGUUUUAUAUUUUUGUUUUUGUCUUGUUGUUGGUUAAUUGGACUUUAUUUUUUUGGGUUUGGGGAGGUCUGUUUGUGUUUUUUUCGUUUGGAUGGUUUGGUUUGAUUUGGGUUUUUUUGUUUGGUUUUUUUAAUUAUUAUUAUUGUUAUUGCUUUAAUGCUCAUUGAGCUAAAGGCCCAAAAGUGACACGAGAUGGCGCCCGGCACCACAGGCAGAGCCAGCCUGAAAAAUACCCUGACUCCCAGGUGGUGAGGUCCCAGUUGAUCCAGAAGUGAAUAAAGCUCCUGUGUGGCUGACAGACCUUCCACUCAAGCAUGGCUAUGUUGCAUUUUCUUAUACUGAGGUUAGAGGUAGGACACAGAGCAAACUGAAGAACCAGUGCUUUGGCUGGAGAAAGAAAACACACAUGGAAACCUGAGCCUCACAUGGCAUCUGCCCUCAGCUCCAGAUGGACCGACUCUCCUUUGUGUUAAAAGUGGAGUUAAUGCUGUGUUUAUAAAGAAAUACAGAAGUGAAAGAUUUUUAAGUGAAUCUGAAGUAAUGCAUGAAGAAACUAUGUUUGGGAUGUUGGGGAAAAUUAAUGCCUUUUAUUUUUUGUCCAGAACAAGGUUUAUAGUACUUAAGUGAAUUUUUAUCAGUGGGUGCAUAAAUGCCCAGUGUUUUUGCAGCUUGUAGCAGUUUUAUUUAUUAGAUAUAAUUACAGUGGGUUUCGUAAUAUCCUGUUGUGGUGUUAUAAGUUGUUUUGAUCAGUUUCUUAUAAUUUAGUGUGAGUCAAGAACAUUAGUUUACUUCAGUUCAUAUGUUUUGUUUUAUGAAUCUUUGUGUUUUAGAACUUUUGUUUCUUCUGAAAAUAAGGCUAUAAUCUUCUGAUUCCCUUCUUUUCUUGGGUGGUUGUUUUAUCUAUACAUGUUAAAGAAAGUCUUCUGUCUUUCUUUGAACCUCUUUGUUGGAGACACCUGUUUCCUUAUAAAGUGUAGCACAUUCUUUUGAGAGCGUGCAAGAACCUUUUCUAGAGGAUGGAAAUUUUAUAUUUUAUUUCUUCUCAUUUCAAAUUGAAAUAGUACAUUAGUCUGGUUUGGCUACAGUGACCACAUGAUGCAGAACUAUUCAGUGAGCUAAAUGAUGAUAUUUUCCACUUUUAACUUGCUUUGUAUAUGUUGAAUUUUUGGGACCUUAAAUUAUCUUAAUCUUUAAUUCUCAGUUCCUGAAAUUCUGCUUCUACUGUUUGUUUUUUAGCAGCAGCAACAUCUGAGUUAAGCUUCAGACAAACAUGUUAUCCAGGUUCUUUGAAUACCAUCCAUACUUUGUUCUUUGUUGUAGAAAUAUUUAUCAUCUUUCUAACAAAAUUUUUAAUGUUUACAAAUGGAAUAGUUAUGUCAUUCUCUCAAAAAUCCAUGGUAAACAUCUGCCAAAGGAAGAAUUACACACUACUACCCUUUAUCAAAGUGUCUAUAAAGGACUGAGUCUUUUAUGAAGAAGGGCCUUGAUAUUUUAGACUGAACUCUUUAGUCUUCACUACAGAGCUGCUCCUCAUUCAUUAGUUACCUCUGAAUGUACCUCUCAUGGCUGCAUUGGCUGCAGUGAAACAAUUCCGGUGGGAAAGAGAGAAAAUUUUUGCUUUUACCUUCUCCUUUUCAGCCAGCUACAAAGUGGCUUCCAAGUUGAGCAAGAAUUGACAAAACAUAUUGAAAGGAUAUGGACAGAGGUGUCUGGUAAUGGACUAUUUCUCUCUGUGGCAUUUAUUCAAACAAAUACAAUUUAUGCAGAAGCAAUGCAGAUGUUGAUCUCACAUCUCCAUUGAUAUGACCCAGCAUUGUAUUGGCCUUGGAGGAAAGAGAGAUUUCCUACAGAUUUUUUGUCAAACCAGUUUACAGCUAUAAAUUGCAUUUCAGCAAAACCAUUAUUCAUUACAGUUCGUUGUUUUGAAUUCAAUCCCCACAAAUAAUAUAAAAAAAACCCCCAAGUCCACUUCCAAAGCUGCCAUUAAACUCCUGAGAAUUCAGCUUUUCCAUGUUUUCAACUAAAGUUGGUUCAUACUGCCAGAAAGGAACAAUUAUUGAAUUUCCAUGCUGAGUUUCCUGCUAUAAGCAUGUUUGGUCAUAUAAACAAGUUAACUGAAAAAUGACCCAUAUUAAAAAGAAGAACAGAAUCCUUUUUCUGUCCAUAUGGAUAGUCCAAGAGAAACAUCUGACCAUCUCAGAGAAUGACUGCUCCAUCCUCGCAAGAGGAGUGAUCUUUUUUUUUAAAUUUCCACUACUUAUCUCUCCUUCAGUGCUGCUUAUGUGAAGCAAGUCAUUAACACCAUAGAAUUAUUUUAAAGAGAUUUAGGUAUUGUUUCUUCUGAAAUUCCCAGUUUCCAGGGUGUACCUAUCUUGCUCUAGACUGUAACACUGUAUGCAGCAGGGAGUAUCUAUAUUUAGAUUUUCCAGAAACUUUCUUUUACUGAACAAAUAGUGAAAGAACUCAGUUCAGAUCAGGCCUUUUCCCAAAUUCAAAGUAUCCCAAAUUUUUUGCAUGGACCAGGAUGGAGGUUUGGAGGAGGUAGACAGCAUAUUGUGUAAGAUUUGCAGAAUCUAACCUUUCAAAAACAAAGCCAAAACAAAACAACAACAAACAAAUAAAAACAAAAAAAAAGCCCCAAAACCCCAACCCAAACCAAUCAAACAAAAAAAUGUUUAUAUGUGUGUCUUUUAGGAACCUCUUUCCUCUGUUCUGUUAGAGGUUAGAAAUUACCCAUAGUUACUAACAUUAAAAUGUACUGAAAGAGACAUAUUUAUAAGAUGUCCAUCCAUAUAAUGUGAGGGUUGAUAGGUUCUUAGUCACAGAAAUGUCUGCAUAGAUUAUAAAAACCCAGAACUUGUCAGAGGCAAUGGGAAAUCACUGUCAGAGGCAGACUGAAUGACAGAAGUGCCUGAUGGUUUAUCCAAGCUCCAGACCUGUAGAGCACCUUUUUAGUCACUGAGGUGCUCGAUUUCCGCUCAGCUGCCACAAGUGCACUAGCUCAGCUGAGCGGUCAGCGUGAGAGGGGAGGCUCUCGUACAGAUCUCAUUAAUUGGAAGUAAAUCUUCCUCAUGUGUAUAGAGGGCUCCUAGUGUUGUCCUGUUUAUCUUUAGUGAAAGAUAAAAGUUAGUUCACUGUAGCUGUGAAGCUUUUAGGUACACACCUAGCCUUAUACCUGAAUUGGCCUUUUUCUGAAGCUCAUGCUAGAGAUCUGUACCAGAAAUCAGCAUAGAGAUCCAGAAUGACUUGAACAUUUGAACAGAGAUAUUAACAGCAGUUGAUGAUUACUCUCAAAGGGAAUAUUUCAAUAAUUUAUUAGUAAGUAUUUGCAUUUUUUUUAACAAAAGCACAUUAAACAGUAUUUGAAAGUCUUUAAAACAAAAGGCAUUACAUUUUUUCCCUUACUGUGCGUAAUUUUUAGGGUGCUUGUCUUGGUUUAGGGCAAAUUUGGGAGAAAAUACAAUUUUAUAUCACAAUUACUCCAGGACACUGCUGCUGUGUGCUAUAUAAAAUUUAAUUUCAGUAAUGCUUACUGUCAUACUCUGUCAUACAAUUCCAAGUGAAUAUUUAAAUGUCUCCAUCUUAGCACAUUUAUUACUGCAUUUGUUGGCAUUCUUAGAAAGGGGAAAUGUCCACUUCUCCACACAAAUGUAUGCUUGGUUUGCCUUUCGCCAACAGAAUGUAAACAUAGUCAUCAUAACAACAUGAAGGUACUGGGAAGGUAAAGAAACAUGCUUCAUGAGACUGUACCAAGUUUAAGUGCAUCCAAAACAACCUUCUUCACAUGAAAAAGUAUCUGGCUUAAAUUAGUGUGUCACUGUAGGUGCAUUUCUGCACUGCUUUGUUUAAUAGGAGUUAGAGCACCCCCGUACUAAAAUGAUGCCUCUACAUAGUGCAGAGCUUGUUUGCCAGGAGUUUAUAGUGUUCUGGGUGACUGUUACCAGUUGAAGUGUUUCACCAGUGAAUCCAGUGCAUAAAUGAUGAUGUUGCAGUGGAUUGUGAUGCAAACUUAAACCUAUCCUGAUCUGGAUGUUGAAGCAGAAGUUACAAUUUCAAGGUUUUUUCAUCUUCUGUCAUUCUUUUUUCACUAGCUAGAAACUAUAAUUCUCAGCUUGUUGCAUGUUUUUGAAGGGCUAGUUCUACGUGCUCUGGCAAAGCAGCCUCUGAAGCAGUGGAAAAUCUUUAGCUUGGUGAAAUUAGGCAGCCUGAUACUUUUCUGGAGUGGCUUCACACAGUGAAAAUUAGCUUAGAGACUUGCUUAGCUAGCACUGCACUGGUGGGCACCCUAACCCAGCAGGAUCAGAAAGAACAGCAGAACAGAAGGUGUAGAUGCCCCUUCUCUGGAAAUCUGCACAAAUAAGGCCCCCCAAAACCCCACCACCGUUAGCCAGCAACACAAGAGUUUUGUAACUGUAGAAAAGUCUGUGACAGCUGCACAUUCUCCUUUUUCCAGCUGUGUGGAGUGAAGGUAAACCAGUCUUUUGGGGCUACUGUCAUUGAUAGCAAGUGGAGAUGAUUAGCAAAGGAGAGUUCAGGUUUGAAUUCUCUCAAGAUUGAAUAGGUGAGAUCCUUUGACAAGACUCACAUGCCUAUUAUUCUCCCCCAUCCCAGUCCAGGCUUCAUCAUCAUUCAUCAUUCAGAAGAUGUCCUACAAAUUAUGGUCAAUCCUUCUGGCAGGUUCUUUUGGUUUUGCAGAGUAGCCAAAAUCUAACCUGAAACCACUAUCAACUUUACCUCAAGACAUCUGGGCUAACUUUUAAUUCUUUGAUUUAUAAAACCGUUUUCUUGAGAGAACUCUCUAGUCCAAGUAGCUGUAAAUUUACUUAAGUGCUUGAAACACUUUUAUGACAGCUCCUUGGCACAUCCUGAGGUCUCUGAUGUCUAAAUGGUAGCAUGAGUGCUUUCCUCUGGUUUAGGGUGUUCCUCAACUUCUCUGAUUUCUCCUGCCAGGCCUCCAUGUGAAAAAAAAUCCCACUUCAUAGGCUUGGUGCAAAUGGAACAGAAAUAACCACUACACAAAGUGUUGAGAGUUGAAGAAGAACAUUUUUCUAACUUGUCCUCCAUCUGAUUUGUUUAGCUUGUUUUCCCAAAUAAAUAGCAAAGAGAGUGUGUAUGUAUCUGUAUUUAUUGCACAACUUCAGGAACGAGUACAUAGACCUCUUAGACAUUGGGCUUCUAUAUGUAUUGGGACAGUUGGCACUUUGGUAAUGGAAAUUGGGUUCUGAUGAAGGGACAAGGAUGAUAGGUACAAUGUUAGCUCAUCCCUUAUCAAACAACGGGAAUGUUCCUAGGCACAAGUUAGGACAAAUAUUUCAUCCAUGUGAAAAGCUUUCUUCAGAGGUAACACCAGAAAACUGAGGCUCAAGGCAAACAGUCUUCAUCCAUUGUCACUAACAUUCCUUCCCCUCUCCAGAAGCUCUGAGAGAAGGGGAAAUCCCAAAGAGAAGCAUUGGCAUUGUAUAUUCAACUCUAAAGUCAGCUCUUGUACAUGUGGUACAUUAAUAUGAAGCAUAGAAGUGGCCUGUUCAGAACCAGUAGGAAUAUUUGCUGUGAUCCUGUCUAUGGAAGCAUCCCUUUUAGCUGUCAGAAAAGUGAUUGGGAAGCAGUACUUGUGCAGGCAGCUCCAUAAUGACACUAUGGGAUUAUAACAAGUCCUGCAUUCAGAUGGGCUCAUUGCCUAAGCUUUAUUUACAGACUGUCAGGCACUGAGUAUGUGAGAUAAUAAAUUUAAUAGUACAGUGACACAACAAGUAUUUAACCAAAUUUAUCAUCUAUGCAAAUACAAGUGUCUUACAGGAUCUAGGCAAUCUGCAAUGUCUGAAAGUUUGUGAUUCUAAAUGAGCUAUCUAUUUCACUUUACAAGCCUGAGCAUCUAGUAAAUGCUCAGAGCUAUAACCAAAUUGUGGUCUCAGUUGAUUUAUUCCAGCUCUUUUUUUUGAUGUUAAUUUGGCUUGGGUUUUUUUCCCUUUUUCCUUUCACACUACAGAUGAUUAGCUCCUGUUUUCUAUAACUUGUCUCCUGAAUUUCCAGUUCUUUGCUACAUGAAGGGCUGCAUGUAGUAGGAGAUAGAAAUGGGAUCUUAACAGGACAGAGUGUUGGAAAUGUGGAGAUACAUGUGUAUAGUUUAAUCUUUGGAUAUGAGACUGGUACUUGAGCAAGAAAGGGAAAAAAAGCCACUUUUGGUUAUUGAGUGUGGGGAUUUUGGUUUGAGUGUGGGGAUUAGAUAAUGUUUUGAAAUGCACUCUGAGUGGGAAAAAUCCAAGGACGGGGGGUGACUGGUGGAGCAAGAGAGGUUAUAUUCCUGCAUCUAGGAAAGUAGUAAGUAGGAGUCAAGGCAGUGCACUACUGAUGCCUAAGUAUUAAAAGUUUGUGAAUACAAGAGGAACAGCACCUGACCCAAAGCAAGGCUUUCCCAACUGUGCUUCUGGAUUAUCACUCAGGAGCAUCUUUAGUUAACUUCAGUUUAGUCAUGGCAUGUCCAAAAGAACUCUUGUCUGUCCAAGGGAAGCUCAUUUUGCUUAGGAUUGGGGUUGUUUCCAAAAGCUUUUUUACAUCUUGUCAAUGAAGCUUGAGUUUCCUCUGUAUGUCACUGGCAAAAAUGAGGUGUGUCCUGCAACAUGCUCACAUAUGCUGGAGAUACUAUCAGAGGGAUUUGGUUUGUUUGGGUUUUUUUCUUUAGUACAUUAAAGUUAGUAGAAUUUGGAAUACUGCUGGCAUGGGGCUUUGGAAAUGCUUUUCUGCAUCUAUUAUUUUUGCACUUGUAAGACUUUUUUGCACUUUUAAGACUAUGCAUUGUGGUAGCUUUUGAAAAAGAUGUAAAUUUCUGCCCUUCCCAGGGAGGAAAGCCAGUGUCUCCUGAUGGAACUGUACAAAAUCAGCAAGCACAAUAGCCUGUGAACUGUUGGUGAACUCUAAGGAAGCAUUUAAGCAAAACAGGAAAAGGGUCCUCAAUCACUGGAGCCAUGAGCAUGAGAAGAAAGUGCAAGUGAUGGUGUGGCCCACACCGGACUUGUAUCUUUCCUGUUUUCUCAGUUUUAGCAAUUUAAAAGGUUUAACUGUAGCCCCAAACAACUCAUGGAAGUGGAGAACCACUGGAAUGAGGACAUGUUCUUUAGGUCACCUUGAACGUGUUCUCAAGAGGAGAACCAAAGACAGAUGUAAGCCAGCAAAAUAUGGCACAUAUAGGAUUCAUAUAUGUCCAGGUCACUUUAUACGAAUUUAUAUAUGAGUUAUGUGUCCAUAUCAGUCUGAUUUACAUUCAUUAUAUUAAAAAUAGCUACACGGUUUUUAAAAAAUAAUAAAUUACAGCAAUGCAAAAUAUGUGGUAAGAUGGCUCAUUUUGCUAUAAGCAUAUUCCCAGAAUUGUUAUAGGUACACCUGAUUAAAAAAUCACAAACAGCUAUAAGCAGAAACUCUUUUAGCAUGAAACUGUAGGUGAAGAAAACCUCACUGCAAACUAAUCUUUAUCCAAGUCUCAAUCCAAACCCUAAUGAACUGUGAGGUCACCCAAAUUCUUCAGAGAACAAUCUUUCAGGAUUUCCUUACACAUAAAGCUCUUUACACAUAAAGUUUGAAUAAUUUUAACUAUGCUAAAGCAAUCUCCUAAGUAUAUAUAUCUCCAUGUGUCUGUAUGGAAAGAGUUUGCAUGAACAUUUUCUCCAUGAAGCUAAUUGCCAUAGUAAAAGGCAAGGGAGCUUCAGUAAUGUAGCUGUGUCUGUCCACAGCUGAGUUUUGACUAGCAGAAGUUAUUCAGUUUGAAAAAAUCUGUUCCUACUGACAUAAUUAUACUGGCACAGGAUUUUGUCAUCUUUUGUCUUGGCCACAUAGAUUUUUUUGUAGCUUUAAAUUCUUUAUUCAUUGAUGAAAUGCUUUCCUUGGCUUAUGAGCUUAUACAGAGUCUGUCCCCAACAUGCUACAUGACAAGCAAGCAAACUUGGCAGCCAGACCUUUUCUUACUUUCCUGCAGCAUACACAUUCAUCAGAGCUCAGGAUAGAAAACUUUUUGAGAUGUAUAUAAAGUAAAAUGUACCUUUCUUGCAGGUGGUUUUCUUGCAGUUUCAAAAAACCCCAUAGUUAUCCUUUUUUCAUGGCUGGUACAAAAGAGCUUGCUGUGCUCUCAGGGUGACAGGUAGCCGUCUAAGCAGCACUCCAUUGGGGCUGAUGCAAGCUCAGGAAUCCUUGAAUGGCCCUGCAUGGGCUGAUCAUCUGCCAGGCAUUGUUACCCAAUUUUGGAAGGGUUUUGAGCUCUUCUAGCUGAAUUCCGUCUUCUGAUCUCUAAAAGAUCAGAAAUACCAAUAAGCCUCAGGCAGUGCUUAUUAAUCCUUCUUUUCUUUAUAAAAUCAAAAUACUGAAGCAUAAACUGCAUGGGUUGUCAGGCGAGUGAGGGAGUAGUGGUGAACCAUGCCUUCCCCAUCCCUGCUGCUGCUGUGAAUUGGGAUUGCCACCAAAAGAGGCAGUUUGAUGCCUUCUCUUCCUGGCUUCUUUUUUCCGAGUUCUUCACUGUCUUGUGCCACUACGAAAAGGUAAGAAAAAGAAUGGUGAUCCAGACUAAGGAAUUGGUUUAGGCUAAGACUUAAAUACUGUUGCUAACUUCCUGAGUUUAAGUCCAUCUUAGUUCCUGGCUUCCUUAUUCUGUUCUUUCACAGCCACAUAAGCACAUCGACUGUUGUGAAGGAGGAUGUGGCCAAAAGUGAGAACAAGUGGCAGUUUUUGGAGGAACUGUGGCUCUGAACAGCAACACCUGAUUUAGCUGACUGUGCCAUGACUGUCUGAUUUCCAGCUGGCAAGGCCUGUCCUGUGCCAUCUCCAUGGACACCCAGUCCCUCAGAGCAGAGCAGCUGGGCAGCAUCAGGUGCCAGAGGGCACCUCCUGGGAGCUGUGACCAGAGCCUCACAAUGAGCAGCUGUUGUGUGGUCCUUGGCAAGGGAUAGCUGUGGUAUGUUUGAAUUCAGACAUCAGUAAUGAGCUCUCACCCCCAGGACUAACCUUCACUGAUUUAUAAUUCAAAAGCUGCUGGCCAAGAGUACAUUCAGAAAAGUUUCCAGACAAUAGCUGCAGGAUGUGUUUUGCCAGAAAUUAAGCAAAAAACAACCAUAAAUUGUAGAAAUUCAGCUUCUGUCAUGCACAUCCUCUAGUGAACCACUGUGGAAAGAAAUCCUAUCUAUCAUUUUGAUGAAUCUUGCAAUGAUGAAUUGGUUGUAGAUGUAGCAGAGACCUGAGGAAAUGGCAGCCCACCAUGCUUCUCAUACACUUCUCUCUGUCUGCCUCACUGGUGAUGACAAGUUCCACAUGCAGCACCUGGACUACUCUGUUUCCCUCUCUCAGGGCCCAGAAGCUGUAGUGCAGCACAUGCAGAGUUUUCCUUGUGUUCCCUCCUACCUACAACCUCAUUCCAGCAGUGCUGUGUUGGCACAUGAUCUGACUCAGUGGUUUGACUGACUGGAGAAAGGGGAGACCUGUUCUGAUACAGAGGGCUCAGCCCUCUUCUGCCCAUCCACAGCAGGAUAGUUACAACUAUCCUGUCAUAAUAAAAUAUGUAAAUAAAAGUAAAAAAACCUAAACUGCAGGCAAUGUAAAUCACUUCACCACCUUCUUCCUGCUCAUUGCAAAAGAUCCUAUCAUGACUUCUGCCAGGUGCUGAAAAAAUAAUCCAAAAAAUACUGAGAAAAUAUAUUUUGAUAACUUAUCAAGUAGAGAGGUCUCAUGUUGUUAUUAAAUGAAUUUCCAUGGAAUUUCAUUAACUUGUGCUGCAUUUCAAGAAUCCAGUCUUGUCAGAGCCCCUGUAUUUGUUGAAAAGGUUAGAAGACAAGGUGUGAGAGGUUCCAGCUAAACAAGGGAAACCUGCUUCGGCCUGUAGCUGAAGCUAAGAUGAAGAGGAAGAUACUUCUGAUUGCCAGAGGGCUCAAGAUCCUAAUCAACCCUCACUCCUUUAAUUAGCAUGAAGCAGCUCAUGAGCUGCAGCUUUCAGUUGGGUCACAGAAAGUCACAUGAAUAGUCAGCUUGCUCCUGAUCAGGAAUUGCGUGAACAUUACCCUGGGGCUUCCUGUGGUCGCAGGUUUGGCAUUGCCUGAACAAGCUCUGCAAUGUAAACACAGGUUUGUAAUUUAUUUAGCAACAUUGUGCAGCAAGAUGUAGUACAGUGGCACAUCAGGUGAAAUAUGUUUCCCACAUCUGCAGUUGUUCAAGGGUUAAGAUUCAAAAAGUGUAGUUUAAAAUGAAGGCAUUUACCAGUCUUGUCCUUCCUAAGAUUAAACCUGGUCUUUGAUAUAUGUCAUUCAAGUUUGUCUAUAUUGCAGCAAAGUAAAUUACUCCUUUUUAGUGAAUGUGCUUCAUUUCCAGACGAGCUAGGAAUGCUCAACACCUCUAAAAACCUGCUCUCCCACAUCUGGAAAAAAGUACAUAAAUAUUUCUGUCCCUCCGGACUCUAUUUUAGAUUGGUCUGAAGCUGUGACAUUUCUUAAAGAAAAAAACAUUCAAAAGUAAAUAAUUUGGGAAGCUGACUUCAAUAAUUUCAUGUUUCAAUACAUUCAUAUUCCAUUCUGAUACAAAUAUAAAUUUUGAGCUUAAUAUACAGAUGCAAAUUUUAAUAAAGUCUAAAAUAAGUCCAGUGAAAUGAUAGUUGAAAUAAAGCACUGAUAUUGGCAAAACAAAACACUUCAUAACAAGAAACCCAAGUCAGUUUGUUUCAGGAUUCUCAUAUUAAUUUGAUAAUGUUUGAUAAAGUCUUGUAUUUUUGAGUUACAAAUUCUUUCCAAGAUUACCAUGCUCCUAUAAAAUGUUUAAAUAUCAGUGAAACAUUCUGCAGCAAGAAUCAUGCUAUCAAAGUACAUUUACUAAUUCUAAAUACAUUAAUUAAUAAGCUGAAAAAAUGUGUGAAUAUGAUUAAGAUAAAAAGUGUUCUGUAAAAUAAAGGUUAGAACAUAUCAGUAGCAAAUAAGAUGGGAGAAAAAUAAAUAUAUUUAUUCCUCAAAGUAACCACAAAUGGAGAAAAAAUAUUAUGAUAUAAAUUUUCAAAAACCAUUGGUA